rnacentral:rRNA from 1 species
CACGUGAGUUAGCCGGUGCUUAUUCAUACAGUACCUUCAACACCCUUCACAGAAAAGGUGGUUUAUUCCUGUAUAAAAGAAGUUUACAACCCAUAAGGCCGUCUUCCUGCACGCGGGAUGGCUGGAUCAGGCUCUCACCCAUUGUCCAAUAUUCCUCACUGCUGCCUCCCGUAGG